UACGGAGGGGGCUAGCGUUGUUCGGAAUUACUGGGCGUAAAGCGCGCGUAGGCGGAGCUGCAAGUCGGGGGUGAAAUCCCGAGGCUCAACCUCGGAACUGCCUUCGAUACUGCGGGUCUCGAGUCCGGGAGAGGUGAGUGGAAUUCCUAGUGUAGAGGUGAAAUUCGUAGAUAUUAGGAAGAACACCAGUGGCGAAGGCGGCUCACUGGCCCGGUACUGACGCUGAGGCGCGAAAGCGUGGGGAGCAAACAGG
rnacentral:rRNA from 1 species